rfam:Myotis davidii contig76239, whole genome shotgun sequence.
GGAUCAAUGAUGAUUCCCCCCAAAAAAACCAAACCAACAUUCCUUGGAGCUGAACAAAAUGAGUGAGAACUCAUACCGUCGUUGUUCUCAUCGGUAACUCAGGUCC